CCUCUUUCCUUCAUUCAAUGCCCUCUUCAGUGUCCUUGCCUCGUCCGGUGUUCUCUUCAUCCUUGGCUCUUCGCACAAUCUCUCCUUUAAAUCUCCCUCUUCGAUCACGUUUUGCCGGCACAGAUCUCUCUCGAUCAAUAGGGAUUCGUAACGGUCCCAGAUGUGGCAUGCACGUUGGUUUGUGGUGGCUAGCCGUCCUUCCUCUUUUAAGGAGUCUUGCGCGAUCGGCUCAGGUCUGUGCCUUCUGCUGGAGGACGAGUCUGCUCACUAUUCAGCGUAGCUCGCGGGAUCCUCUUUUUUUAUUUUGGUCUUGAAUCUCCAUUGUGCAGCUUUGGUUGGGUUUCUUUCCAUCUUUAUCUAUCUUUUUUUAUACGCGUUGAUCUUGCGCCCCCACAGAUGAUACCCAAUCAAUCUUUGUGGCCAUUUUUUAUUAAACAAUAGUGUUUUUUAUUGUUUCUCAUAUAAUAAUUCUGAUGAAGUUUACGUAAUUAUAGAGUGUAGGAAAAUCUAAUGUCAGAUGUUAGUCAUACGACUCAAUGGCUCUAGGAUUGUUCUCCCAAAACUUUGUCCAAUUAGAAGUUGCCAAUACGGUGGUACUCAUGUUUGUUUGUUUCGAUUUCUCAUGUUUUAUAUUUGAGAUCCAACAUAUUGCUGGUAGUGUCUUUAUGUCGAUGAUAUAGUGUGUUGACAUGGAUGGGUAUGAAAAGACUUAUUUUCCAAGUUCUGCCAAAAUUUAUUUGCCUAUCACUUCUAAUUUGUGUGUGGAAGAUUGUACUGAGCGUUUAAAAUGGUUUUACAAAAACUGCACCAUCAAUUUUGGUAAGAUAGGUGUUGGUAGAAUUACAAAGAAUAGCCAUUUCUUUUACCCUAUAGCUGUGUGGACACAUUUGUCACUGAUCGUCUCCAGAGCUCAUUUUUUAUGAGCUUUUAGUUUAAUGUUUCUAUUCAGUUGACAUGGUUGAUGACAAGAACUUAUUGAAUCCAUCGUUUGUUUCUUACCGUGUCAAUUUCAAAUUCUUGGUCAUUAAGAUUCAUGUGCAACUGUGUACUUGGCUUUGCCUAUUUUUAGUAAAAUUAUUAUUUACUGAUUAAAAAAAAAGAUUAAUGUGCAAUACAAAAUAAUAUUUAAGAAUAGAUAUUAUCUCUCCCUUUCUCCUCUCAAACAAAUUGAAAGGAUGAAGUUUUGCUAUUUGGAAUUGUCUUAGGUCUAAUUCCUAUUGCUUUGGCUGGAUUAUUUGCAACAACAUAUUUACAAUAUAGAAGAUGAAGUUACCAUAAACGUCAUAAAAUUUUUCGAUUAAAAUUAAAUGAAAUUAUGUGGCAAGUGAGAGGCUUGUGGCAAAUGUGACGACAGCGAAGUGGCGUAAGUAUGAAGGUGUGGAUAAUUCAUUUCACUUAUCAUAAUUGGGUAUCCAUAGGAUCUCCUUCAUAAUGUCCUAAUGCAUAAACUUUUGAGGCCUGAACCAAGAAUUGUAACCUCUUAACAUCGACAUGGAGAGGACAUUUUUGAGUUAAGUAUGUGCUGCUAGUGGCAUAAUUCCAGCUUCUUCUUCGUUUUUAUUUUUUUUCAAAAAGAAGCUGAAAACAUUAGUUGAUGUUCUAUUCGGUGUUUUCUGAAGUGAUGGGAUUAAAAUCACAAGUAUGCCUGGGAAAAGCAUAAAAUGAAAAUGAUAUUUUCACUAGCAUUUUAGUUAUAUAGAUUAUUUUAUUGCACAAUUUAUUGUCAUGACUUAUCCUCUCUAAUGUAUCUCUGUACCAAACAUUCAUGUAUUUCAUGGUUUUUGCAUGUCCACUUGUUUUUCUAAUUUGAGUACUAAUAUUUGUUACUCAAAAGUUAAUAUCCCAUUGGUUUUCAGUCAUUUUGAUUCAAAUAAUUAGGAUCUUUAUAUUUGAUCUUAUUUUGUUAGAUAGAGUUGAAAAAUCCAAUGUUAGCUGAAGCUCAU